rnacentral:rRNA from 1 species
UACGUAGGGGGCAAGCGUUGUCCGGAUUUAUUGGGCGUAAAGAGCGUGUAGGCGGCUAGAUAGGUCCGUUGUGAAAACUCGAGGCUCAACCUCGAGACGUCGAUGGAAACCAUCUGGCUAGAGUCCGGAAGAGGAGAGUGGAAUUCCUGGUGUAGCGGUGAAAUGCGCAGAUAUCAGGAAGAACACCCGUGGCGAAGGCGGCUGUCUGGUACGUGACUGACGCUGAGACGCGAAAGCGUGGGGAGCGAACAGG